UUCAAGGCACCCAUACCUGAAGUUACCCGUGCAUACCAUUUGCAGGAUGCUGUGUCUCUUUUUACAUCUUACCUUUCGGAGGUGGCGUCAUAGCCCUUAUGUCGAGACCCAUCUCUCUAGUUUAACAGCAAAAUUUUGUAUGUUUAUACGCCGUGAAAAGUGUGAACAUUAAUGUAGUAAUAGCUAGGACGCCAAGAAAUGUGUUUUGGGGAAGAGGAAAAUAUCAUCCAUGUUACGUGGGUAAAAUCCUUUUGCAUUGCCGUCUAGUUAGGCACACUUGUGGUGUACGUGAAAUAUUUUUCCCUCAGCACUAAGUGUGAUUUACGAAAAUAGAGAAACAGGAGAUCUUUUGUAUGGGAUAAAGAAUGACUUUGUUCAUGUGAAGA
rnacentral:lncRNA from 1 species